UAAUCGCGGAUCAGCAUGCCGCGGUGAAUACGUUCCCGGGCCUUGUACACACCGCCCGUCACACCAUGAGAGCCGGGGGGACCCGAAGUCCGUAGCCUAACCGAAAGGGGGGCGCGGCCGAAGGUAAAACUGGUGAUUGGGGUGAAGUCGUAACAAGGUAUC
rnacentral:rRNA from 1 species